CCCCCUCCUUUAACCUUAAGCUCGGAGCCGCCCCUUUCACCCCAAAAUUUGAGAGUUUCAGCUGCCCCAUUUACUAGAGAAACACUUCUGUCCAUCGCUGCAUAUGAUUCUCAAACUUACUGCUUUUCGCUCCCACCUUUACUCCUUUAAAACACUCUCUAAAAUCCUAACUUUUCGUUUGAUAUUUCUCGCCUCUAUUGGUUGAUUUUUUAGUCAAAGCAGAGGUGUUUUGGUAUUUUUCCGGAAUCGUUCGAAGUAGUUAGUUCGAGGUCGGAGUCCGAUAAAUCCAAGACCCUCGCCCAGUUCACUGCCCUGCAAAAGAGUCUUAAUACAAGACUCGCCAAUAUACCUCGAGCAUGGCGUCAUAUCUCAUAUUCCUAAAAUGCAUUGGAUAGCAAGAAAACAAGCAGAACGCUUGGGGGCGCCUAUGGCGUCUUUCUUACUUUUUUCCCCUUUUGCCAUUCAUUCUUGUCUAGUUUUUGCGAUCCUUGAUUUAUUUGUGUGUUUUGGUUUUAUCGCAAGGAUGGAAUUUUAUAACAUUUGGAAGUCGCCGUUUAAGUUAAAAUUAAUCUGUAGAAUUUGU